GAGUUUGAUCCUGGCUCAGGAUGAACGCUAGCGGCAGGCUUAACACAUGCAAGUCGAGGGGCAGCAUGUCCAGCAAUGGAUGAUGGCGACCGGCGGAAGGGUGCGUAACGCGUGAGCAACAUGCCCUAUACAGGGAGAUACACCAGGGAAACUUGGUCUAAUAUCCCAUAGCAUUCAUUGAAGGCAUCUUUAAUGAAUUAAAGCUUCGGUGGUAUGGGAUUGGCUCGCGUGACAUUAGCCAGAUGGUGAGGUAACGGCUCACCAUAGCAAUGAUGUCUAGGGGUUUUGAGAGGAAGGCCCCCCACACUGGGACUGAGACACGGCCCAGACUCCUACGGGAGGCAGCAGUGAGGAAUAUUGGACAAUGGAUGGAAAUCUGAUCCAGCCAUGCCGCGUGCAGGAAGACGGCCUUAUGGGUUGUAAACUGCUUUUAUACGGGAGCAAUAAGGGUUACGAGUAAUCCGAUGAGAGUACUGUAUGAAUAAGGAUCGGCUAACUCCGUGCCAGCAGCCGCGGUAAUACGGAGGAUCCGAGCGUUAUCCGGAAUUAUUGGGUUUAAAGGGUGCGUAGGCGGCCAUUUAAGUCAGCGGUGAAAUUUUGCAGCUUAACUGUAACAGUGCCGUUGAUACUGUUUGGCUAGGAUUUGGUUGUAGUGUGCGGAAUGUGUGGUGUAGCGGUGAAAUGCUUAGAUAUCACACAGAACACCGAUUGCGAAGGCAGCACACUAAGUCAUUAUUGACGCUGAGGCACGAAAGUGUGGGGAUCAAACAGGAUUAGAUACCCUGGUAGUCCACACUGUAAACGAUGAUAACUCGCUGUCGGCGAUACACAGUCGGGGCCAAGCGAAAGC
rnacentral:rRNA from 1 species